CAGCAGCCGCGGGAACACGUAGGGGGGCAGCGUUGUCCGAAGUUACUGGGCGUAAAGAGCGCGUAGGCGGGUCCCUAAGUGAGGGGUGAGAGGUUCAGGGCUCAACCCGGACACUGCCUUUCAUACUGGGGGCCUUGAGUGUGGGAGAGGCGAGUGGAAUUCUUGGUGUAGCGGUGAAAUGCGUAGAUAUCAAGAGGAACACCCAUGGCGAAGGCAGCUCGCUGGCCUAUAACUGACGCUGAGGCGCGAAAGCUGGGGGAGCAAACAGGAUUAGAUACCCGAGUAGUCCCUGUCUCUUAUU
rnacentral:rRNA from 1 species